UUCAAAGACAAUCAAUCCGACCAAAUAUCGACGACGAAGUGAUGACUGUGAAACGCGAGAUGGAAAAUAUUCGGGAGAAAUGUAGUAUACAAAUGGCGUUCUCUAAACGACAGAAAACCGAACUAGCUGGAUUCCAGUUUGAUCUAAAUAGCUUGAAAAAAUCUGGUAGUCAACAGAAGAUGGAGCUUAAACAUUUAGGAACUGUUGUAAUAAACGAUUUAAAAACUUUGAAAGAGGAAGGCGGAUAUCAUUUAAG